rnacentral:rRNA from 1 species
UAAUACGUAUGCAGCAAGCGUUGUUCGGAAUUACUGGGCGUAAAGAGUGUGUAGGCGGUGCUCUAAGUCUGUUGUGAAAUCUCCCGGCUUAACUGGGAGGGUGCGGCGGAAACUGGAGUGCUUGAGGGUGGGAGAGGUAAGCGGAAUUCCUGGUGUANCGGUGAAAUGCGUANAUAUCAGGAGGAACACCUGUGGUGUAGACAGCUUACUGGACCACUUCUGACGCUGAGACNCGAAAGCGUGGGUAGCAAACAGGAUUAGAUACCCUGGUAGUCCACNCCCUAAACGAUGCAUACUUGGUGUGAGCCAUUCAUUUGGUUCGUGCCGGAGCUAACCGCGUUAAGUAUGCCGCCUGNGGGAGUACGGUCGCNAGGCUGAAACUCAAAAGGAAUUGACGGGGGCCCGCACAAGCGGGUGGAACCAUGUUGGUUCAAUUCGACGCANACGCGAAGAACCUUANCUGGGCNUCGAACGGCUUAAGAACNACGGUNGGAAANNUCNUUUUCCCCGCAAGGGACUUGAGUCGAGGUGCUGCAUGGCUGUCGUCAGCUCGUGUCGUGAGAUGUUGGGUUAAGUCCCGCAACGAGCGCAACCCUUGUCCUGUGUUGCCACUCCGUAAGGAAGCACUCGCAGGAGACCGCCAGCGAUAAGUUGGAGGAAGGUGGGGAUGAUGUCAAGUCAUCAUGGCCUUUAUGUCCAGGGCUACACACGUGCUACAAUGGACGGUACAAAGCGCUGCAAACCCGCGAGGGGGAGCCAAUCGCAAAAAACCGUUCUCAGUUCGGACUGCAGGCUGCAACUCGCCUGCAUGAAGCUGGAAUCGCUAGUAAUGGCGUAUCAGAACGAUGCCGUGAAUACGUUCCCGGGCCUUGUACACACCGCCCGUCACAUCACGAAAGUGGAUUGUACUAGAAGUCCUAAUCUAACAGGCCCAAGGUAUGAUUCAUGAUUGGGUG